rnacentral:sRNA from 1 species
UAAUUCCGAUGGUCAUAUAGGAGUAUCC